UACGUAGGGUGCAAGCGUUAUCCAGAUUUACUGGGCGUAAAGCGCACGCAGGCGGAUGAUUAAGUCAGCUGUGAAAGCUCCCGGCUCAACUGGGAAGGGUCGGCUGAAACUGGUCGUCUGGAGGGCAACAGAGGAGUGUAGAAUUGCGGGUGUAGUGGUGAAAUGCGUAGAUAUCCGGAGGAACACCAGUGGCGAAGGCGGCUCGCUGGGCUUUACCUGACGCUGAGGCGCGAAAGCGUGGGGAGCGAACCGG
rnacentral:rRNA from 1 species